rnacentral:rRNA from 1 species
UUAGUAAUGGCGAAUGAAACGGGCAGAGCCCAGCACCGAACCGCCGGCCAUAUCGGUCGUGUGGAAUGUGGUGUUUGGGAGAGCCUCAUCGAGGUGAGAGUGCCUGUCCAAGUCCAUCUUGACAGGGGCCAUUACUCAGAGAGGGUGAUAGGCCCGUAGGACGGUCGGCUCGCCGAGGUGGCUUUUCCCCAGAGUCGAGUUGCUUGGGAGUGCAGCUCAAAGUGCGUGGUAAACUCCACGUAAGGCUAAAUAUGACCCCGAGACCGAUAGCGAACAAGUACCGUGAGGGAAAGUUGAAAAGUACUUUGAAGAGAGAGUUCAACAGUGCGUGAAACUGUGCGGUGGUAAACGGAGGGGUUUCUCGAAGUUGGCUGCGGAGGUUCAGGCUGCGGGCCGGGUGGCUGGGGGGUAUGGGAUCCGCAAGGACUCUGCUCUCUGGUCGGCCUGGUCUGCGGCUGCACUUCUCUGCGGCUUGGCGCGACGAACCGCUGGCGGCGCACCGCGUGCGUGGGUGAAGUUGGGGUCCUUCGGGGCCCCAGCCCCGCGUUGCGGGCUGCGCAGCCGGCGGGUAGCAGGGCGGCCUCGUAUAGCGAGCACAGUCUCUUGUGCGGGUCGCGUUUCUGUCGCGAGUAGGUCGGCGGCCCCUCCGACC